rnacentral:rRNA from 1 species
GACGAACGCUGGCGGCGUGCUUAACACAUGCAAGUCGAACGCUGAAGUACCAGCUUGCUGGUGUGGAUGAGUGGCGAACGGGUGCGUAAUACGUGAGUAACCUGCCCUUGACUCUGGGAUAAGCACGGGAAACCGGGUCUAAUACUGGAUGCUACAUGUCACCGCAUGGUGGUGUGUGGAAAGGGUUUACUGGUCUUGGAUGGGCUCACGGCCUAUCAGCUUGUAGGUGAGGUAAUGGCUAACCAAGGAGACGACGGGUAGCCGGCCUGAGAGUGGGACCGGCCACACUGAGACUGAGACACGGCCCAGACUCCGACGGGAGGCAGCAGUAGGGAAUGUUGCACAAAGGGCGAAAGCCUGAUGCAACGACGCCUCGUGAGGGAUGACUGCCUUCGGGUUGUAAGCCUCUUUCGGCAGGGAAGAAGCCACAAGUGACGGUACCUGCAGAAGAAGCGCCGGCUAACUACGUG